rnacentral:sRNA from 12 species
CCCGCCACGCCUCUCCACGAUGCGCACCAGGGCGGGU